rnacentral:rRNA from 1 species
GAUGAACGCUGGCGGCGUGCCUAAUACAUGCAAGUCGAGCGAACAGAUGAGGAGCUUGCUCCUCUGACGUUAGCGGCGGACGGGUGAGUAACACGUGGAUAACCUACCUAUAAGACUGGGAUAACUUCGGGAAACCGGAGCUAAUACCGGAUAAUAUAUUGAACCGCAUGGUUCAAUAGUGAAAGACGGUUUUGCUGUCACUUAUAGAUGGAUCCGCGCCGCAUUAGCUAGUUGGUAAGGUAACGGCUUACCAAGGCAACGAUGCGUAGCCGACCUGAGGGGGUGAUCGGCCACACUGGAACUGAGACACGGUCCAGACUCCUACGGGAGGCAGCAGUAGGGAAUCUUCCGCAAUGGGCGAAAGCCUGACGGAGCAACGCCGCGUGAGUGAUGAAGGUCUUCGGAUCGUAAAACUCUGUUAUUAGGGAAGAACAAAUGUGUAAGUAACUACGCACGUCUUGACGGUACCUAAUCAGAAAGCCACGGCUAACUACGUG